GACGAGACUCCCAUCCCAUUUUUUAAAAAAGAAAAACUUAGUAGUCUCUGUUCUGUUGCUUUUGAUUCUUUGUAGCUCUAGAGAGUCCGGGCUGCGCGCCCGGCUCCGUCUCGCUGGUUAGACUUCAGACCCCCUCCUGCCUCCGUGCUUCCUCGGCGGAGACCCCACUGAGGGCGCCGCUCCUCUCCCCCCCCCCCCAACCCCGAGACCCAGCCCCCGGUCCUGCCUCGGCUUUCCCGGCUCGAUGGGGCGGGUUUUUAUAUCUGUGUAUUUUUCGCGCGGCCUCCACAGCCUCAGCUGGGGUUCCCGAAGAAGCCGUAACUAGCUGCUCGGAGUUGUUAAACGACUUAGCAUGUGAAAAAGUCGGAAAUGAGGCGCUGGGGAAGGAGCCGGGAGUGGAGCGGCCUGGGUUUACAGAAACCCUCCCGGACUGAACUCCGCGGAAGCCGGCAGCAGAGCGCGUGGAGGCGGCGGCGAGGACGCGGCCCGUGCACACCGAGUCUCCUUGGCAAGGGAGCUGCACCGCUUUGUGGCCCGCGGGCUCCGAACCGCUCCCAUCGCCGUCUACACAGCCUCCCGCGAAACCGACUGGAGCGGCGAGCUGGCUGCCCAUCGCCCCCCGGCUGCCGAGGCCGCGGCUGCAACUGUGCGAGGAAUCCAGUAAUUAUACAAAAGGAAGGUCGGAAGGACAAAACAAACCAACCGAAAUUGACAAAUUCUGAAUUUCCUUUGCUCAGCUUCGGUUGUUCAGCCCGGAGGCAGGCGCGGGCCGCAGCACGAGGCCCACCGCGGCCUAGGAGGCCGGGCCUGCGUGGACGCGUGCACGUGUGCGCGCGCGGGAGGGUGGCGGCCCCGGGGGGCAGUCCUGCGCGGUCUUCUUGAAGUAGCCUCCAAACGAGCCUGAUUUCGAUUCCGCCGCCCGCGGGGCUGCCUCUCCGACUCCCUCGGCGCGGCCGGCCCCUGCGCUCACCCUUCCUCGGCCAAGACCUGGCUUCAUCCAUCCACUCCCCGGUGUCUCAUUGGAACCUCCCUGGGG
rnacentral:lncRNA from 1 species